GGCUGAUCUGAAGGUAUGAGUCGUCUCAAUUGAUUGUUCACGGUCAGCUACGGCUCCCACUCCCUGUUCUACACUGUCCCCCAUUCUCACCACUGCACUUGACUAGUCUUUU
rnacentral:Y_RNA from 1 species